ACGAACGCUGGCGGCGUGCUUAACACAUGCAAGUCGCACGGUGAAGCACCUUCCUUUUGGUGGGUGUGGAUGAGUGGCGAACGGGUGAGUAACACGUGAGUAACCUGCCCCCUUCUUCUGGAUAACCGCAUGAAAGUGUGGCUAAUACGGGAUAUUCUGGGUCUGUCGCAUGGCGGGCCUGGGAAAGAUAUUGUUUCGGUGGGGGAUGGGCUCGCGGUCUAUCAGCUUGUUGGUGGGGUGAUGGCCUACCAAGGCGGUGACGGGUAGCCGGCCUGAGAGGGUGGACGGUCACACUGGGACUGAGACACGGCCCAGACUCCUACGGGAGGCAGCAGUGGGGAAUAUUGCACAAUGGGCGCAAGCCUGAUGCAGCGACGCCGCGUGAGGGAUGGAGGCCUUCGGGUUGUAAACCUCUUUCGCCAGUGAAGCAGGCCUGUCCCUUUUGUGGGUGGGUUGACGGUAGCUGGAUAAGAAGCGCCGGCUAACUACGUG
rnacentral:rRNA from 1 species